GACGAAGGGGGCUAGCGUUGUUCGGAAUUACUGGGCGUAAAGCGCGUGUAGGCGGUUGUUCAAGUCAGGUGUGAAGGCCUUGAGCUCAACUCAAGAAAUGCACUUGAUACUGGAUGACUAGAGGACCGGAGAGGAUAGUGGAAUUCCCAGUGUAGUGGUGAAAUACGUAGAGAUUGGGAAGAACACCAGUGGCGAAGGCGGCUAUCUGGACGGUUUCUGACGCUAAGACGCGAAAGCGUGGGGAGCAAACAGG
rnacentral:rRNA from 1 species